UUAACCGAAUAGGGGAGCCGGAGGGAAACCGAGUCUUAAUUGGGCGUUAAGUUGCAGGGUAUAGACCCGAAACCCGGUGAUCUAGCCAUGGGCAGGUUGAAGGUUGGGUAACACUAACUGGAGGACCGAACCGACUAAUGUUGAAAAAUUAGCGGAUGACCUGUGGCUGGGGGUGAAAGGCCAAUCAAACCGGGAGAUAGCUGGUUCUCCCCGAAAGCUAUUUAGGUAGCGCCUCGUGAAUUCAUCUCCGGGGGUAGAGCACUGUUUCGGCUAGGGGGCCAUCCCGGCUUACCAACCCGAUGCAAACUGCGAAUACCGGAGAAUGUUAUCACGGGAGACACACGGCGGGUGCUAACGUCCGUCGUGAAGAGGGAAACAACCCAGACCGCCAGCUAAGGUCCCAAAGUCAUGGUUAAGUGGGAAACGAUGUGGGAAGGCCCAGACAGCCAGGAUGUUGGCUUAGAAGCAGCCAUCAUUUAAAGAAAGCGUAAUAGCUCACUGGUCGAGUCGGCCUGCGCGGAAGAUGUAACGGGGCUAAACCAUGCACCGAAGCUGCGGCAGCGACGCUUAUGCGUUGUUGGGUAGGGGAGCGUUCUGUAAGCCUGCGAAGGUGGCCUGUGAGGGUUGCUGGAGGUAUCAGAAGUGCGAAUGCUGACAUAAGUAACGAUAAAGCGGGUGAAAAGCCCGCUCGCCGGAAGACCAAGGGUUCCUGUCCAACGUUAAUCGGGGCAGGGUGAGUCGACCCCUAAGGCGAGGCCGAAAGGCGUAGUCGAUGGGAAACGGGUUAAUAUUCCCGUACUUGGUGUUACUGCGAAGGGGGGACGGAGAAGGCUAUGUUGGCCGGGCGACGGUUGUCCCGGUUUAAGCGUGUAGGCUGGUUUUCCAGGCAAAUCCGGAAAAUCAAGGCUGAGGCGUGAUGACGAGGCACUACGGUGCUGAAGCAACAAAUGCCCUGCUUCCAGGAAAAGCCUCUAAGCAUCAGGUAACAUCAAAUCGUACCCCAAACCGACACAGGUGGUCAGGUAGAGAAUACCAAGGCGCUUGAGAGAACUCGGGUGAAGGAACUAGGCAAAAUGGUGCCGUAACUUCGGGAGAAGGCACGCUGACACGUAGGUGAAGUGAUUUACUCACGGAGCUGAAGUCAGUCGAAGAUACCAGCUGGCUGCAACUGUUUAUUAAAAACACAGCACUGUGCAAACACGAAAGUGGACGUAUACGGUGUGACGCCUGCCCGGUGCCGGAAGGUUAAUUGAUGGGGUCAGCGCAAGCGAAGCUCCUGAUCGAAGCCCCGGUAAACGGCGGCCGUAACUAUAACGGUCCUAAGGUAGCGAAAUUCCUUGUCGGGUAAGUUCCGACCUGCACGAAUGGCGUAAUGAUGGCCAGGCUGUCUCCACCCGAGACUCAGUGAAAUUGAACUCGCUGUGAAGAUGCAGUGUACCCGCGGCAAGACGGAAAGACCCCGUGAACCUUUACUAUAGCUUGACACUGAACAUUGAGCCUUGAUGUGUAG
rnacentral:rRNA from 1 species